rnacentral:lncRNA from 1 species
AUUGGUUGUCUGCCAGUUGGUUUUUAAUUCCCUCCUCGGUGACGUGGAUGCGGGGGAGGGUAUUCAUGGAAGGUAUGCUCUCCACCCAUCUCUAUAGUCACGUAAGGAGGGAGGGCACUCGUGGCAGGUGUGCCCUCUAUAUAACUCUAUGGCAAGGUAUUUGUAUUGGUAGGUUCGAGGAUAGCUCAUUUAAAUCCAGAUCCUUCACCCAGACAGCUGAGUAGUUGAGCACGACAAAUAACAACCUGUAUACGUAAAUAAACUCCAUACAAUGCCAACCAAGUCUCAGUUCAAGAUGAGCCACAUGUCAACUGUCAAUCAUUCCCAGCCAGGUAUCAUUACCUGAAUCUAUAAAGACUCUGAACUGCAUCGCUGCCUCCGCCUGCUCUUUAACUGGAGUUCCACAGUCGAUGGGCAUCACCAUAACCCUCACCUAAACCUCAAUCAGUUACACAAUAUUGUUCAGUUACAAGAUUGCAACAGGCUAGGAACGAAAGUUUUGUUCACUGUUUCCCUGGGCACCCUUAUUAGGGGAAGACAUGCAGGCAAUGUGUAUGCUCAUGUUCAGGUGAGCGCUUUGUACCUGGAAGGUCGUUUGUGUAUAAGCUAUUGUUGGUGUUGGUUUAUUUCUGUGAGCAACCAUGCUGUCUUGAAGAAAUGUUUGGGGUGUGGUCGAUUUGUUCUGAAUGGUAUCUGUUGAGUUAGACCAUCAUUGAGUUUAUUCAUUUGACAAUAUAAAAGAUGCUGAUUAAUGUAAAGCCACUGCAAUGUCAUUUUGUUUUCAGUUUGUUUGUAAGAGGCUUUGCUGGUUUUGAGAUGCAGGCAGUUUAUUAGCAGUGCCCUCCGAUAAGUUGACUGUCUUUAAGUAAAGUAAUUUUGUAUUUCUAAAAUAUCUAAUGUUUAUGUAAGUGCAGUGGUUAACUGUUUAUUUUCUACCAUCAGAAGUAAUAUUGAUUGUCACUGUUUUUGGUCAUCUGGUGAACUUUGCCAACUGAAUCUCUGUGAAAUCACUGUUGUAUUUCAGAAAGCUAUCUAGUGGAAGUAACAGGCCGUUAAGAAUUUGUUCUUAAACUGACUUGCCUAGUUAAAUAAAAGGUUUAGACAUUUAAAAAAAAAAAUCAUUUAAUGUACUCUUGUUAAUGUGUCAAACAAGCAAACCUAAUCCCCUGAGCUUUAAACGUUGGUUGUUGUCCUGCCUCUGUACUGUUUCCAUUUAAUGGGCUUAGAACCUAUAACGUUUCAGAUGUUACAAUUGUAAUAAAGCAU